GAGUUUGAUCCUGGCUCAGAUUGAACGCUGGCGGCAUGCCUUACACAUGCAAGUCGAACGGCAGCAUGAUCUAGCUUGCUAGAUUGAUGGCGAGUGGCGAACGGGUGAGUAAAUACGAUCGGAACGUUGACCCUGUAGUGGGGGAUAACUAGUCGAAAGAUUAGCUAAUACCGCAUACGACCUGAGGGUGAAAGUGGGGGACCGCAAGGCCUCAUGCUAUAGGAGCGGCCGAUGUCUGAUUAGCUAGUUGGUGGGGUAAAGGCCCGACCAAGGCGACGAUCAGUAGCUGGUCUGAGAGGACGAUCAGCCACACUGGGACUGAGAC
rnacentral:rRNA from 1 species